UCUACUAAUAUAAACUCCAUUUAAUUAUCUCUUCAACUCUUGCUAUUUUCUCAUGUGAUCUUCUUUUAUUAUUACACACACACAUAUAUAUAUACUUCUAGGCAUGAAGGAGAGAUCCAUGGAGAAGUUUGUUGUGUUUCCAUUCUCUUUAGGAUGUGUUUCUGAAUCAAGUGUUCCAGUGGUCAAUACCAACAAAAGCCACAACACAAACAAUUCUCAAUUAAAUCACCUUCCAACAAAAAGACAAGUAGGAGAUCAGAGUCCAUCAAAAGUGAAAAUAAAUGGAGUUUUGGUGAGACGACGAAUUUCUCAAGGAGUAGACACAUUCAAAAGGAAUUUCAAAGGUUUCUAUCAAUUAUUUGUGUACAAAGAAGAAAUGGAGAUGGAAAUAGGGUAUCCAACAGAUGUGAAGCAUGUAACACAUAUAGGAUGGGAUGGAUCUACAAAAAAUAAUCCUAUGAUUAAAAACUGGGAUAAUUCAAAGGAAUCUGAUUUACUUUCAUUUCCUUCUAUUUCUAUUCAACAAUUUGAACUUGCUAUGGCUUCACAAGCUGGUGGAUCCUCUAGAAUUUGUGAGAUUGGAAGGAAAUGGGGUUCGCGGUGACAAGUUUAAUUUUUGUUGUGGUCGGAGUUAUUGCAUCCUUCGGUGCCGGAAUCUGCUGCAACAGAGGACCUUCAACUAAUUUGUUACACCUGACAUUGAUUAUCACUGCUACAGUGUGCUGUUGGAUGAUGUGGGCAAUUGUGUACCUUGCGCAGUUGAAACCGCUCAUCGUACCAAUCUUGAGUGAAGGAGAGUGAGAUGCUCAUGGAAGAUUUGAUGAGGG